rnacentral:misc_RNA from 1 species
AACUGGAGCUAUAUACUUUG